UACAGAGGGGGCUAGCGUUGUUCGGAAUUACUGGGCGUAAAGGGCGCGUAGGUGGCCUGUUAAGUCGAACGUGAAAUCCCCGGGCUCAACCCGGGAACUGCGUCCGAGACUGGCAGGCUCGAAUCCGGGAGAGGGAUGUGGAAUUCCAGGUGUAGCGGUGAAAUGCGUAGAUAUCUGGAGGAACACCGGUGGCGAAGGCGGCCUGCUGGGCAGUUUGGCUGGACACUGAGGCGCGACAGCGUGGGGAGCAAACAGG
rnacentral:rRNA from 1 species